AUGAAGGUGGAUGAUACAUCGGGACUUGGACUUUAUAAUGUGUUAAUAGAUACACUUGAAUCUGUUGGUUUGAAUGUUCAAGAUGUUCGUGGACAAGGGUAUGACAAUGGUUCGGACAUGAAGGGGAAAAACCAAGGGGCACAGAGCAGAUUGCUUGCAACUAAUCCAAGAGCAUUGUACAUGCCGUGUGCUUGUCACAGCCUGAAUCUUACUCUUAGUGACAUGGCAAAAUCUUGCGGUAAAGCUAUAACUUUCUUUGGUGUUGUGCAAAGAAUUUACAUAUUGUUUUAA
rnacentral:rRNA from 1 species